rnacentral:rRNA from 1 species
AGCGAACGCUGGCGGCAGGCUUAACACAUGCAAGUCGAGCGGAUGUAGCAAUACAUCAGCGGCAGACGGGAGAGUAACACGUGGGAACGUACCCUUCAGUUCGGAACAACCCAGGGAAACGUUAGGGCUAAUACCGGAUACGUCCGUAAGGAGAAAGAUUUAUCGCUGAGGGAUCGGCCCGCGUCUGAUUAGCUAGUUGGUGAGGUAACGGCUCACCAAGGCGACGAUCAGUAGCUGGUCUGAGAGGAUGAUCAGCCUCACUGGGACUGAGACACGGCCCAGACUCCUACGGGAGGGCAGCAGUGGGGAAUAUUGGACAAUGGGCGGCAAGCCUGAUCCAGCCAUGCCGCGUGGGUGAUGAAGGCCCUAGGGUUGUAAA